rnacentral:lncRNA from 1 species
CCCGGGCUCCUCCCGCCGCCCCUCCCCGCAGUCCCAGGCUCCUCUCCCAGCUCCUCCCCCCAGCCUCGCAUCCCCCGCAGCCCCGCGUCCCCCUCCCAGCCCAGCGCCCGUCCCCGCUCGCUCCCGGAGCCACUGCCCUCCCCCGUCAGCCUCCUUCGAGCUUAUUCUCUGGGCCUCUGGACCACAACAAGGUCCGCAGCCCGAAGGUCCCCAACCGGUGGGUUUGAUCGCGGUGGGGAGGACAGGGCAGGACUUCGCGGGGCGGGCGGUGAGUGCAGAAAGUCCACACCCGCAGCUGCCCUCCCAGCCCUGUGGGCACGGCCGCUCUGCGAGGUCAGUCGCCCCCUUCUCUCCGCGGACCGUCGCGGCUGUUAGAAUGCGCCUCCUCCUUUACUGCCGUUUCCCCAUUGCCCCAGACACGGUGCGUGACAUCGGUGCUCAGGAAAUAUUCGUGGAAGGAGUAAACGACUGGGUGGGCUUUCGCUGCUGUUUCUUAGCGCUCGCAUCAGUUUUCUGCCUCCUCCGCCCUUCAGGGCCCUCGUUCUCUGUGUCUUCAUAGGCACCUGUUCGUGGGCAGGCCUGGAGGUCCCGAAAAUGAAGGCUGAGCGGGUCAUGCAAGGGAAACCUGGUUGGGUUUGUGCCACGGAUCCCAGAUGGGCUGACCUUGGGAACCACCCAGUGCCUGGCAUAUAGUAGACACUCAAUAAAUUGUGUUGAGUCAUUAAACCUUGGAUUGGCUGUGUGGCCUUGGACAAGCCCAUUCAUGUUUCUAAGCUCACAGUGCCUCAAUAAAUGCUGCCGAG